CAGCUAUAUCACACUGAAACACCAGUUCCCAUAUGAUCACCAAAAUUAAGCCAUGUCAAGCCUGGUCAGUACCUAGACAAGUGACCCCUUGGGAAUAUCAGGUGCUGUA